rnacentral:rRNA from 1 species
AGUAAUGUCUGGGAAACUGCCUGAUGGAGGGGGAUAACUGCUGGAAACGGUAGCUAAUACCGCAUAACGUCGCAAGACCAAAGAGGGAGACCUUCGGGCCUCUUGCCAUCGGAUGUGCCCAGAUGGGAUUAGCUAGUAGGUGGGGUAACGGCUCACCUAGGCGACGAUCCCUAGCUGGUCUGAGAGGAUGGCCAGCCACACUGGAACUGAGACACGGUCCAG